AUUGUCCACAACUGGAAGGCGCGAUGGUUCAUCCUUCGGCAGAACACGCUGGUGUACUACAAGCUUGAGGGGGGUCGGAGAGUGACCCCUCCCAAGGGCCGGAUCCUCCUGGAUGGCUGCACCAUCACCUGCCCCUGCCUGGAGUAUGAAAACCGACCGCUCCUCAUUAAGCUGAAGACUCAAACAUCCACGGAGUACUUCCUGGAGGCCUGUUCUCGAGAGGAGCGGGAUGCCUGGGCCUUUGAGAUCACCGGGGCUAUUCAUGCAGGGCAGCCGGGGAAGGUCCAGCAGCUGCACAGCCUGAGAAACUCCUUCAAGCUGCCCCCGCACAUCAGCCUGCAGGACACAAGAGGAAAAACUGGAAGGUGCGUCGCUUUGUUCUAAGGAAGGAUCCAGCUUUCCUGCAUUACUAUGACCCUUCCAAAGAAGAGAACAGGCCAGUGGGUGGGUUUUCUCUUCGUGGUUCACUCGUGUCUGCUCUGGAAGAUAAUGGCGUUCCCACUGGUAAGGGGUUAAAGGGAAUGUCCAGGGAAACCUCUUCAAAGUGAUUACUAAGGAUGACACACACUAUUACAUUC
rnacentral:lncRNA from 1 species